GGCCAAGUGUGAAGUAAAUUGGCCAACAAUGUUUUUGAGUAAUAUCAAUGGCUGAACAAUUAUAAGCAUAUUUCCGUUAUUUUUUUUCACGCAAACCUUCCAGAUUCUUUAUUUAACCCAGUGCAACGCCCUUGACAACGAAAAUGCUUUUCUUCGGCAAUCUUCGGAAAUGACGUCACAUGGAGAACUGUGAGGGAAGUCUUUCCAUUGCACAGCAUUGUUGCAUUGCUUGUUGGUAAGAUGCCACGGCGGUGUGUGGCGAUGUAUUGUUCGCAAUCCACAGAAAAUGUCUACCAGUGGCCGAAGGAUAGCAGGGCACUUAAAUGGACAUGUUUUACUCGCACGAAGCGAAUGAAUUUCACGCCCUCAUUCUCCACUUCAAAGAUGAACAGCUUUCUCAACCGGUCUGCUUAUGAUCAAGGAUUUGCAAAAAAAGUGACGAGACUGGGGGAAGCUAUGGAAUGGAACUCGAGGGCCUGAAAAAAUGCCGUCAAGGAGUUGGAAGGCUUCAAUGUAAAAGUUGUCGUCACUGACAAUGACAGGCAUCGCCAGGUGCUGAAAUGGAUCAGGGAGAAUUGGACCCAAGUCAUCUUUUGAUUGUGAUUGUUGACACAUUGUUAAAAGUUAGUGUAUUUCAAUGUUUAUAAAUACGCUAGUUUUGGGAUUAUGUCUUCUACAUCAUGCACGUCACUUCACGAGUUUUCAUAUCAUAUUGACCCAUAUGUCAUCCAAAUAUUUAUCAUCGCAAUAUGUUGUUGUUUUUUUUUUUGUAGACUAUGUGAAUGACUGCCUGUCAGAGGUGAUGAAACUGACUGCCAUUUAAAAUAAGUCCAGAACUGGUGAUGUGUGUGUCGAUCCGCAAUUCCUGACAGCAGCAGUGAACAGGCCAGACAAGUCAACUGUUAUUUCUGAGCACCAGACUAGAUUCCUCAGGAAAUAAAAAAAAAAUUCCAUUCCCUGUA